GAGCCCUGAGGAUAGAGCCAGCCUUCUAUGGACUAAGACCUCUGAAACCGAACAAGCCCCGACUCCCAAGAGAUCAUGAAAAGUGAUACCUGAGUCACACUGACAUUCUGUUGGCAAAGAAGAAAGAGGCAAAACACAGUGCAUCUGCCGUGGUGCUGCUAUUUCCUCCUCUGGGCAGCUAAGCCAAUUGUAGCUCAUAAAGGAUAAGUGAUUGGCCCAAGGUCACUCUGCUGGCCACAGGAUGUCAGAGAUGGAAGGGACUUCAGACACCAUCUCUACUCUUACUAGCACAGCAGCCCACGCUAAGACCAGGCUAAGGACCCAGCUUCCCAUGCCCUUCCCCAACUAUACACAGCUGCACAGUCUUCAGACCGUGGAUCAGCCAUCAGUGAUGUGUAGGGUGCUUCCAUUCUUCCCUUGUAUCUCAACAUCUCCUCCUGCCUUUCUCCACCAAAAGUCUGCUCUUGACUCCUGCCCUCUACGACUCUUGCUCUGGAUUCCAACAACCCCUCUGAGCUGAACUCUCACCCUAUUCCUACUUGAUCAGUACUCCUCACGGAAGCUCAGUGCACCCAGGAUCCUCGGUGCAUCCUGGAUGUGACUUGAAAAGCAAAGGCAAGUCUCCCUGAUUGACACUCUACUAGGCUUUGCCGUUCAUCUUGUUUGGGGGCCAGGGAUAAGCCUCAUCCCAGGAGAAAUGACAGAUUAUCAAUGCUGACUGGGAUGUGUCCGAACUAAAGUCUUUUUAUACCUGCUCUUCAGUGUAUUGUGUUGAGAAAAUAAAGCAAAC